AGAGACAACUGAUGGAAAGCAUACUGGGACAUACACAUACACGGACAGAAGCACAUCUACACACACCAGCUAAGAAACACUGCCAAUACGAUUGUAAUUAAGAACUCUAAGCUAAUUGGUCGAUUAAUUAUUCUUACUAUUAUUAUUACGAUUAACUGUAUAAUCCGAUAGAUCUCUAGUUGCCGCGGAUGCAUAAGUGGUUUACGAUGUGUCCUUUGUUGCUUCGGGCCCGUGCGUGCGUGAGCGAGUGCGUGAGUGAAAAAUUAUUCGUCACCGGAAUAACCGUAAUUAUAUAAAAAAAACUCUCGCUGGUUUCCUUUACGCAAAAAAAAGAAAAAAAAAAAAAAAAAAAAAAAAAAAAAAAAAGAAAAAAAAAAGUAUCAGCGCACGUGCCAACGGCAACGGGAUAUAUAUUCGCGGACGAGCGUAUAUGUAAAUAGUUAGUUGAAAUUAUCUGUAAAUCGCCUGAUGAUACGGGCCACUGCCUCUUCUUUUAGAAGGAUAUAAGAAGCUGCCUCGAAAGAGGGCAGCGCAUAGCCUAUUGUCAGCUUACACGAUUCCAAGCGAGAAGGAGAUUCACUUUUUUGAUCUUUUGAAUUCUCGUUUCGGAAGAGAGAGAGACACACACACACACACACAUAUAUAUAUAUAUACACAUAGACACACAUACACAUUAUUAUAUAUAUAUAUACAUACACAUACACACACACAUACACAUAUAUAUUAUAAUCAUCAUAGUUCGCUUCGGAAAAGACUGUCCGCAUUUAGUGUAUAGGAUCUAAUUAUUGUGUGAUUCUAUUUCAAGUAAGUGGAAAAAAAAAGAAAAAAAAAAGAAAAAAAAGAAAAAAAAAGAAAAAAGGAAUCGGAGUAGAGAUAUUCGAUGCUGUGAAUAAUAAAUUACCAGUUCUUUCAAUAUGAUUUAUUCUAACAUUCGUAUUUUUGUUUUUUUUUUUCUUCUUUUAAUCAAUUCGUCGAUUAUUCGUCGUACAGAGGUGACCGUUUUAUUUGAAAAAUAAAAAAAAAAACAUCAACAGAAAGACAAAGACGGAAAGAGAAAAGGACAUCAAAUUGUUCAGUUUCAAAUAUUGAUUUUUCGUGAAUACAUUUUUCUUCCUUUUUCUUUCUCUCCCCCCUUUCUUUUCCUAAGAGGGGAGAAAAAAAUUGUAUUUUUUCGCAAUACUAUUCUUCGUUUCCCACUACUAUUCCCUUUUAAUACCAUUUUUUCCCAUUUCUUUUUUUUUAUUAUAUAUACAUACAUACAUACAUAUAUAUAUAUAUUUAUAUUUAUAUAUAUAUAUAUAUGUAUCGAUCGUGUUUUUUUCCCCCGUGUUAGCAUUAGUAAAGUAUCCGCGUUAUUUUACGCAUUAAACAAUAAUAAAUGUAUAUUUUAACGAAACGUUGUAAAGUUUUACAUAAGGAAUAAUUAGGAUAUUCGUUAGGAUUGAAAACGAGAGGGGAGACUCGGGCUGAGGAACAGUUACGAGGCGUGUUUCAACUUGUGUUUCAAAACAGAUGUAUCGUUUGAAGAGUGUGUGCAUGUGGUAUUGUUCGCGAUCGUGGCUGUUCUCUCGGUUCUCUUCAACUUUGUACAUGUGUAAAACGUUUGCGAAAGACUGUGGGGGAGAGAGAGAGAGAGAAGAGAGAGAGAGAGAGAGAGAGA
rnacentral:lncRNA from 1 species